AACCACUUUAAUAUGAUGGAUUAGUAAGCUUUAAAUAUAGCUAAAUAUGGAAUUUUAAAUGAAUAAACUUCCAGUUUAAGAUUUUAAACAAUAUAUGAAAAUAUAAUUUAGAUAGUUUAAUAGUUUAGGUUUAUUAGGUGCCAGCAACCGCGGUCAUACCUAAUAAAUUAGCUUACUAUACUUAGUAAUUAAACAAUCUUAUAUAAAAUAAUAAAAAUAAAUAGUGAAAUAUUAUACUACUUUCUAUACCUUAUAUAUAAAUAAGGAAAAAACCCAUUGCUAAAACUAGGAUUAGAGACCCUACUAUUGUGGGUAAAAUUUAUUAUUACUAAGAAGUAUGACCACACUUAAAAACUUAAAUGUUAUGGCGGCUAAUUAAACCAAUUAGGGGAACUUACCAUAUAAUUGAUAACCACCAAGCGUAAAUUUACUUACUAUAAUAAUUUGUAUACCGUUGUCUUCAUUACCCCCUUAUAAGGAGGUUAAAAAUGUAUUACACGACUUUAAGACAAAUCAAGGUGCAGUCUAUUAGUAAGAAUUAAGGCGAGUUACAAUAACUAAUUUUUUCGGAAAGUUGUAUGAAAUUUUACAUGAAGAUGGACUUAAAAGUAUAUUAUAAAUUUAGAUUUAUUAUAAGAAUAUAUUUUUACUUAGUGUA
rnacentral:rRNA from 1 species